rnacentral:pre_miRNA from 1 species
GAUUUGAACUAAAAAAGUCAUCAACAACAAAGUUGGAUAACUCACCAAGAUCCAUAACUUUUAUGUUUUUCAUAUCUUCAUCCGAUAAUGUGUUAGUAACAUUGUUCACAAAAUUUACAUAUCUGUGUUAUAGCUCAUAAACCAGAUGAGAGAGAAGUGAAUUUUGUGAACAAAGUUACUAUUACUUUGUCGGAUGAAGAAAUGACCAAAAUAAAAGUUAUAGAUGCUGAUGACGUAUACAACUUUGUUGUUGAUAACUUUUUCAGUUGAAAUC